GUUAGCUUUACAUUUAUUAGCUUUCAUUUCAGGUGCGCAUAUUGAAGAGUUUGACGAUAUAGAUGAUGAGAUGGAGGAAGAAAACAUUGAUGAUGAGGAUGAUGAAAAGGCACCGCAAAAGAAACGAAAGCUUUUAGCAGAGGAUAAAAAAAACGGCAUUAAACGGAUGAAGAUGUAGACAAAUAGAACAUUAAGAUUAAAAAAAAAUAUACACUGCGUUAUAAUUAAUGUGUCUUCUAAAAAAUACGACAUCAUUGCACUAAAAAUACUUUAAAUUUCACUUGACUUUAUCAUAUUUUUAAGAGGAAUUACAAUUUAAAGAAUUCGAAAAAGUGGAAGUGAUCCACUUGUAAAAAGUCAUGAAUGUAUCUUUGAUCUAUUAUAUCUGUGUUCUCAUUCCAUGUUCGUUUUAUUUUUGUAAAAUAAAUCAUAUUUUGCAAGGA